CGACAGCAAGAUCCACGUGUUCAGACUCUCAGACUUCGAGUGCGAGGACGAGCGCGUGAAGACGAAGGCCGACCUCAAGGACCACCGCCUCGAGAGGACCAAAGGAUGCCACCUGUACGCCAUCUCGAGGCCGGGAGGAUCGCACCUCAGGAUGGUCGUAGCUGUGAACAAGAAGCUCCUGGUCCUCCAGUGGCGACACUCGGCUGCCUGGACUGCCUGGUGUCCGGCCUCUGACACCGACACCGUUGAUGGAUUCCAGUUCAUUAGGGAGAUUUCCGUGGCCGAGUCGCCGUCCCUCAUAACGCUGGUGGACUCCCCUCUGGUCUCGUCGGCAGGAGGACUCAGCGACAACAAGAUUUGCAUCGGU